UACGUAGGGCGCAAGCGUUGUCCGGAAUUAUUGGGCGUAAAGAGCUCGUAGGCGGCCUGUCACGUCGGGUGUGAAAGCCCGGGGCUUAACCCCGGGUCUGCAUUCGAUACGGGCAGGCUAGAGUGUGGUAGGGGAGAUCGGAAUUCCUGGUGUAGCGGUGAAAUGCGCAGAUAUCAGGAGGAACACCCGUAGCGAAGGCGGCACUCUGGGCCGAUACUGACACUGAGGAGCGAAAGCGUGGGGAGCGAACAGG
rnacentral:rRNA from 1 species